rfam:Oryza sativa Japonica Group DNA, chromosome 5, cultivar: Nipponbare, complete sequence.
UAUAAGUGCAACCAUGAAUUUUCGUAUGUAACUUUGAUCUCCCGUCUUAUUUGUAAUUUUUGUAUGAUUAGGAUUUUUUGUUAUUAUUAGAUGAUAAAAUAUGAAUAAUACUUUAUACGUGACUUUUAUUUUUAAUUUUUUUAAAUAAGACGAAUGAGUUAAACAUAGAAAAUUAUAGCUGCCCUUGAA